GGCAGGUUUUCAGUUUUUACGUUCGAGGGUCUUUGCCGUCUCCGUGCGAUAUCCUAUCAAGAACUAGAGGGGCGAACUGGAAGGAGACCAUAAGCCUCUCCAAUUUUUGGGCUCUUUGGCUCUCACUGAGCCCGCAGAAUUCCCACCGUCCACCGCAAUAGCGGCACGUCAAUUCGGGCCAUUGGAAAUUUCCUAUCAAUCAACAAGCGCCAUGGCUAUAUCUACUCCACAGUUUGGUUUCUCUUCAAUUUCAAACCUAAGCCGUUCUUUUCCUCAAUCAAUUUUUUUUCCUCCCAAGAAGUCGCAGGUGGUUAUGCAACGGCAAAGCAAUGGAAGUGGUCGGCGAGUUUGGCGCGGGAGAAAAUUGGUACCAUAAAAUGAAAUUCUUUUAUUAGUUUGCUCUAUGAAAUGUAAAAUUUGACUAUUUUGUUGUUCUUGCAUAUGAAAAUUAUCCCCAAAAUGGUAUCUCUAAUCUGUAAUUCUUGAAAUGUGAAUAAAACUUCAUUGAUGGAUUUAAUUGAAUUAUUCUAAGAAGGUAUUUGAUUCACUUUGCUUCAAAUUAGGUCUAUAGAGGAAACUCAUAGCAAAAAUUUCACUAAAAGUAGCGUAUUGUUCUGAAUUAGGAUGAUUUCAUAGUGAUCAAUGAAAAUGAGGACUUCCAAUUUAUCUAGUCUCACCUUCAUAUCUGAAUGCACUUGAUGAAGAGAAUAAAAAUUUAAAUUUAAUUUAGCGUUCGUCACCGUAACUAAAUCAAAAGUAACUAUAAUUCAUUUACAUUUCAAUGGUAACUGUUCACAGCUCCUGUUUACACUUUACAGCGGAGUAUUUAAGGAACUGUAAAUAAAUCACUCUUGCAACAAGUAGUUAUACACUUUUGACUAGCAGUUGCUUUGGUGUCAUUUUCAAUUCCCAAGUCUGUAUAAACUACCAAUCUAACAACUGGUUGGAGUUGGGCCGAACCCUGCAUGUUAGUACUAGGUCUAGCUCAUUAAGGCCUUUGUAAAUAUGCAAUCCUUGAUGAUGUGAAGCAUUUAAUGACUAAAAAAAUAUUAAUGAUGAACUGCUCGCAAUUUUGGUUAUUUAGGACUGGGAUUAGAUUGAUUUUGAAAGCUGAGAAAAGUAGAAUUUCAAGUAGACGACUAAGAUUUGUAAUCAAAGUGUGAUUUUGAAGCAAAAUAAAAUGAGAAAAUACGGAUUUGGUGACAGUUUCAGUACUGGCCUGCCACUUUGAAGCCUAAAAUGAUAUUGUUUGGCAAAAUAAAAAUGAUGACUAAAUAAUAAAUCCUAAAUAUAUAUCCAGCCAACCUAUGCCAGCACAUUUCUUUCUCAUUAUGAUAGUGUGUUAAGAACUAAAUCAUAUUUUUUUCCAUGCAAAAAAUUGGUAGGUUUUCAUGACAUGCUCUUGAAAUUUGCGCAAAAUAUUGCUUAGAGCUGUCGAUAGAGCUACUUGGAAAACUAAUACGAGCUUCACUUUUUUCUCCUUUUCUGUAUACAAGAGAUGUAAUUGCUUUACUGUACAAUGAAGUCAAUAUAUAGUUGUAAAUCAAUUAAAAAAAAGAACAUAUAUUCAUGUAAAUUGAAAAAUUGUCAAAACAUGAACAUGACAUAUUUUAAUAAAAUAUGGAGUGAUCAUGUGGGCUAUUGAGAAGGCACUUGCCUUUAAAAGUAAGAAUGUGGGUCAAAGUCUUGCUGUGACCAAUUCUUGUAAAAUGUCAACGCAUAUAUAAAUUAAAAAAAUAAAUAAAUUUUUAUAUUUUUUUUAUCAAAUUAAUGUGGUGUAUGAACUCAUUAAAAUUGUAAUAAUUACUUUUUUGGACUGGCAAAUCUAUAAGGGAAAAACUGGCACAAGCUGUAGAGACUCUUACCAUGAAUGUGGGAAAAAAAAAUGAAAUAAAGCUUUUGAAGGUGAUCAAAUUAAUAUUUGCAUGUGGAUAAAUAUAUUGGUCAUGUUUGGCAUCAUCUUGCUGCUUCAUGUCUUACCUUUUCAUGAUGUGGCAUAGGUUCUUCCAUUGCAUCGUGCUUGGGGGUGUUGAUUGAAAGUGCUUAUGCAGAAUUUUAUUGUUUCAGAUGAAGAAGGAUGACAUGUUGCAUUAUAAAUUGGGGCGAAUUCCAUUCCUGGAGGAGCAGGUUAGGAAGGUACGAGAGGCGGGAGAGCUAUUGACAAUGGAUAUUGAGAGACUACUGCUAUCAGAAGAUAACCGGUUUGAUUUUGUGAACGAGGUAGCAGCUGAGGCCAAAGAAUAUAUUGAGAGCAACAGAGAUGAGUAUGGAGGUAAGAAAAAGGCAAUCCUUCAUGUACUUACUAACCGCAUGAAUGAUGCUGGGUUUUACCGUAAAGAUGCAUAU
rnacentral:misc_RNA from 1 species